GAUGAAGAACGUAGUGAAAUGCGAUAAGUAAUGUGAAUUGCAGAAUUCAGUGAAUCAUCGAAUCUUUGAACGCACAUUGCGCCCGCCAGUAUUCUGGCGGGCAUGCCUGUUCGAGCGUCAUUACAACCCUCAGGCCCCCGGGCCUGGCGUUGGGGAUCGGCGGAGCCCCCCGUGGGCACACGCCGUCCCCCAAAUACAGUGGCGGUCCCGCCGCAGCUUCCAUCGCGUAGUAGCUAACACCUCGCGACUGGAGAGCGGCGCGGCCACGCCGUAAAACACCCAACUCUUCUGAAGUUGACCUCGAAUCAGGUAGGAAUACCCGCUGAACUUAAGCAUAUCAAUAAGCGGAGGA
rnacentral:misc_RNA from 1 species